rnacentral:snoRNA from 1 species
UUGCAGCAAAUUAAACCUACCAUUCCCUUUGGGGGGGGUGCAAUGAUUGCAAACAGCAAGUCUCCUCGGUAAUGUAUGCAGCCUGUGGGUAUAUAUAGACUGCCCUAAGUGACUUGGGAGACAACC